GGGGAAUCUUGCACAAUGGGCGAAAGCCUGAUGCAGCCAUGCCGCGUGAAUGAUGAAGGCCUUAGGGUUGUAAAAUUCUUUCGUCAGGGAUGAUAAUGACCGUACCUGAAGAAGAAGCCCCGGCUAACUUCGUGCCAGCAGCCGCGGUAAUACGAAGGGGGCUAGCGUUGUUCGGAAUUACUGGGCGUAAAGCGCACGUAGGCGGACUUUUAAGUCAGGUGUGAAAUCCCGGGGCUCAACCUCGGAACUGCAUUUGAAACUGGAAGUCUGGAGAUCAGGAGAGGUUAGCGGAAUACCGAGUGUAGAGGUGAAAUUCGUAGAUAUUCGGUGGAACACCAGUGGCGAAGGCGGCUAACUGGACUGAUACUGACGCUGAGGUGCGAAAGUGUGGGGAGCAAAC
rnacentral:rRNA from 1 species